UACAGGAGGAGCCAAGCGUUGUCCGGAUUGACUGGGCGUAAAGCGCACGCAGGCGGUCUGGCGCGCGGGUGUGAAAUCUGGCCGGCUUAACGGCCAGGCGCCAUCUCAUACGGCCUGGACUGGAGCCUUGCAGAGGUCGGUGGAAUUGCCGGUGUAGUGGUGAAAUGCGUAGAAGAUCGGCAGGAACACCCAGGGGGAAACCAGCCGACUG
rnacentral:rRNA from 1 species